rnacentral:rRNA from 1 species
AUUGAACGCUGGCGGCAGGCCUAACACAUGCAAGUCGAGCGGAUGAAGGGAGCUUGCUCCUGGAUUCAGCGGCGGACGGGUGAGUAAUGCCUAGGAAUCUGCCUGGUAGUGGGGGAUAACGUCCGGAAACGGGCGCUAAUACCGCAUACGUCCAGAGGGAGAAAGUGGGGGAUCUUCGGACCUCACGCUAUCAGAUGAGCCUAGGUCGGAUUAGCUAGUUGGUGGGGUAAAGGCCUACCAAGGCGACGAUCCGUAACUGGUCUGAGAGGAUGAUCAGUCACACUGGAACUGAGACACGGUCCAGACUCCUACGGGAGGCAGCAGUGGGGAAUAUUGGGCAAUGGGCGAAAGCCUGAUCCAGCCAUGCCGCGUGUGUGAAGAAGGUCUUCGGAUUGUAAAGCACUUUAAGUUGGGAGGAAGGGCAGUAAGUUAAUACCUUGCUGUUUUGACGUUACCAACAGAAUAAGCACCGGCUAACUUCGUG